rnacentral:rRNA from 1 species
CAUAUUUUAGAGCUAAAAUCAUAAUAAAUAAAUAUAAAUUAUUACUUUCAAAUCCAUCUUCAUGCCAAAAUUUAAUUCAACAAUCCGCAAUAAAUAAAUUUAUUGUAACCCAUCUCUUCUUGUCUAUAAGCUGCACCUUGAUCUGAUUUAAUUUAAAAUUAUAAAUUCUGAACAUUUAAAAUUCUAAUGAAACAUUCAACUACGACGAUAUACAAACUAAUUAAAACAAGUACAAUUAAUCGUGGACCAUCAAUUACAGGACAGGUUCCUCUGAAAAGACUAAAUUACCGCCAAAAUAUUUAAAUUUCAAGUUCAUAACUAAUACUAAUUUAACAUAUAAAUUUUACAUUUUC